UCCGGUUUAUCACCGGCAGUCUCCUUAGAGUCCCCAACUUUACUUGCUGGCAACUAAGGACAAGGGUUGCGCUCGUUACGGGACUUAACCCAACAUCUCACGACACGAGCUGACGACAGCCAUGCAGCACCUGUCUCUCGGUUCCCGAAGGCACCAAGUCAUUUCUGACAAGUUCCGAAGAUGUCAAGGGUAGGUAAGGUUCUUCGCGUUGCAUCGAAUUAAACCACAUGCUCCACCGCUUGUGCGGGCCCCCGUCAAUUUCUUUGAGUUUUAACCUUGCGGCCGUACUCCCCAGGCGGAGAACUUAUCGCGUUAGCUGCGCUACCGACGGGUCAACCCCACCAACAGCUAGUUCUCAUCGUUUACAGCGUGGACUAC
rnacentral:misc_RNA from 1 species